rnacentral:rRNA from 1 species
CACGGGGGGAACGCGAAGAACCUUACCAGGUCUUGACAUACCAUUGACCGUCCUAGAGAUAGGAUUUUCCCUUCGGGGACAAUGGAUACAGGUGGUGCAUGGUUGUCGUCAGCUCGUGUCGUGAGAUGUUGGGUUAGGUCCCGCAACGAGCGCAACCCCUGUCGUUAGUUGCCAGCAUUCAGUUGGGGACUCUAACGAGACUGCCAGUGACAAACUGGAGGAAGGUGGGGAUGACGUCAAAUCAUCAUGCCCCUUAUGACCUGGGCUACACACGUGCUACAAUGGUUGGUACAAAGAGAAGCGAAGCGGUGACGUGGAGCAAACCUCAUAAAGCCAAUCUCAGUUCGGAUUGUAGGCUGCAACUCGCCUACAUGAAGUUGGAAUCGCUAGUAAUCGCGAAUCAGAAUGUCGCGGUGAAUACGUUCCCGGGUCUUGUACACACCG